GUAUUAAAACUUUUCACCUCAGAGUGAUAGGUUCUUUCAAAUAAUUAUGUAAAAAUUAAUACCAAUUUAUAAAAACUUAGAAAAGAGAAAUUAAAGACAUUUCUGAAAUCAUUUAAGCUCCAGCAAAAUUUGAGUAGUUAUGACACCCAAACCUGAAUUUGACAGAUAAGAAAGAAAAAUAACAAACCAAUUUCUUUUAUAAACGUAUAUAGAAUUUUAUUUUAAAUAUUAAGCAAAUAAACUUCAGAGAUAUAUAAGAGGAAAACAAUAAAUUAAGAGAAAAUGGAAUGCAAUGCAGCUUAAUAUUUGAAAUUUGAUCUGUUAUUUACAGAUAAAAGAGAAAAUAAAAUGAUCAUCUCAGUGGGUAAAUCAAAUGUCAUUUGAUAUAAUUCAGAACAGAUUAAUGGUAAAAUUGUUAGCAAAUGAAAAUGGAAGGGAACUAUCAAAGUUUCUUUUAAAACCUAUAGUGCACAUCAUUAGUGAUAAAUUAUUGGAAACUUUCCUCUGGAGAUCAAGAAUGAGAAUAGGAUUCCCAACCUUACUACUUCAAUUCAGUAAGAUUUACUAUUGGCCCUAAUCAGUGGAAUAAGACAAAAAAGGAACAAAAGGAACAACAAUUGGAAGGGAAGAAAUCCUCUUUUUAAAAAAAGAUAAUUAUUUCAUAAAAGCAUGAAGAAUCUACAAUUUAUUAGCAAUUAUUAAAUAAAGUUAGCAAUGUCACAGGAUACAAGGUCAGUAUACAAAUCUGAAUUGCCUUUAUAUACACCAACAAUAACAAAAACUAAAAGUUGAAAUAUACAUUACAAUAGUUUUAUCAAAUACCUGGAAAGAAAUCUAAUAGAAUAUUCAUAAUAAUCUUACACUGAAAACCACAAAACAUUAUGAGAUAAUCCAACUAAAAUGAGGAAUAUACAAUGUUCACUAAUUGAAAGACUCAAUAAUAGGAAUGAUGAGAAUGUUAGUUCUUCUCCAAUCAAUCUAUAGAUAUAAUAAAAUCCUCAACAAAAUUUUACUUAAUUUCUUUUUGAAAACUAACACACUGAAUAUAAAGUUUGUAUAGAAAUACAACAGUACAUUAAAAUUAAAGCAAUCUAGAAGAAAAAGAAUAAAACUAGAGAUAUCACACCAAAGGCAUGGUCCAUAGAAGAAAUAAGUUGGACUUCAGUACAAUUAAAAUUUUCUGCUCUGCCAAAGAGUCUACAAAUGAAAUGAAAAGACAGGUCACAUAUUAGAAAAAUAUUUGAAAAAGGCAUAUUACUAAGGACUAUUAUCCAAAAUAUAUGGAUACAUGUCAUUAAAACUCAACAUAAGAAAACCAACAUUCUCAUUUAAAACUGGACAAAGUAACAAACAAAUUUACCAAAGAAAAUAGAUAGAUGGCAAAUAAGCAUGUGAAAACAUGCUGUAUAUCAUAUGUCAUCAGGGAAAUGCAAAUUAAAAUAACAUUGGGAUACCACUGCAAAACCAUUAGAAUGUACAAACUCUAGCUCACUGACAAAACGAAAAGCUGAGGAAGAUUGGAGCAAAAAGAAUUAUCAUUCACUGCAGAUGGGAAUGAGAAAUGGUACAACUGGCUUUGGAAGACAGUUUGGCAUCUUUUUACAAAGCUCAAUAUACUCUUACUAUUUGAUGCAGCGGUCUUGCUCCUUAGUAUAUAUUCAAAAGAGGUGAAAAUUUAGAACCACACAAAAACUUGCAAGGUGAUGUUUAUAGUAGCUAUAUUCAUAGCUGUCAAAAUCAAGAUGUCCAACAAUAAUCAAAUGGAUAAGUGAACUGUGGUACAGCCAGACAUUGAAUAUUAUCAUUCAACACCAAAAGAAAUAAGUAAAUAUCCAUCAAACCAUUAAAAGUCAUGGAGAAAAAUCUCAAAUGACUAUUUCUAAAUGAAAUAGUCAAUCUCAAAUGACUCUAUAAUGUACUACUCUGACUACAUGACAUUUUGGAAAAGGCA
rnacentral:lncRNA from 1 species